AUGUUUAUACAUUUUGGUACAACUCGUCUAACACACAUGUGGCCACCUUUACAUUUGACUAUUGUGACAUUGUCAGCUGUUCAUUCCCACAGUCAUUGCUCUCAACAGUAUAUAAAGACAUACCCAUCAUAAAAGACCCAUAUAUAUGUAUGACAGACGACUAUUGGGGACAUGACUGCAGUUCCUGGAGGGCGGCAGGUUGGAAUG